AGUGAACGCUGGCGGUAGGCCUAACACAUGCAAGUCGAACGGCAGCACAGUAAGAGCUUGCUCUUACGGGUGGCGAGUGGCGGACGGGUGAGGAAUACAUCGGAAUCUACUUUUUCGUGGGGGAUAACGUAGGGAAACUUACGCUAAUACCGCAUACGACCUACGGGUGAAAGCAGGGGAUCUUCGGACCUUGCGCGAUUGAAUGAGCCGAUGUCGGAUUAGCUAGUUGGCGGGGUAAAGGCCCACCAAGGCGACGAUCCGUAGCUGGUCUGAGAGGAUGAUCCGCCACACUGGAACUGGGGCACGGUCCAGACUCCUAGGGGAGGCAGCAGUGGGGAAUAUUGGACAAUGGGCGCCAGCCUGAUCCAGCCAUACCGCGUGGGUGAAGAAGGCCUUCGGGUUGUAAAGCCCUUUUGUUGGGAAAGAAAAGCAGCAGGUUAAUACCCCGCUGUUCUGACGGUACCCUAAGAAUAAGCACCGGCUAACUUCGUG
rnacentral:rRNA from 1 species